CUGAACAGCCACAACGCGGAUGUGUGCAGAGCUACAGCUUCAGACGCCCCCCUCCUUCGCCCAACCCUGCGUCCUCUUUCUUUCCCUUCCUCCCAGAGGCCUACGCGACGCAGUUACCCUCGAUAGUCUCUUCCAACGUUUCCUCGUCACUGUCCAUGGCUCAGCCCGGAGAAGCAACUUCCUUGGCUUGGAAGCGCGCCCGCACUCUUGCCUGUCCCGGCACUUGCUUAGCCCAGCCGGAGAAGGCGGGUGGUUGACGUUGUCUCCCCGUAGAGCUCACUUAACAGGCCGCCGCCACGCAACGCGCCCUGAAACAACGACCGCUUUCCUCGCCCCACACUCAGCUCUCGCCGCUUUGUUAUACAGCAGCUGAUCCGCUGACAUCACUCUGGGCUGGGGCUGCUCCCUGACUGACAGCUCCCAGCGCAGCCCCAAAAGCAGAGCCCGCCAGUACAGCAGGGACAAGGGAGGCCGGCGCAGGCCCCACCGCUGCUAACCAGAUAAGGCCGCCCGGCCCCCAACACACGCGCGCAUUCUACACUCAUAGAACACGAGGGAUCGAACCCUAUAAGCACUUCUGAUAAGUCUCACGGAUAUCCAGCUUGGGAGUAAAAAGUGCUUCACUUUGGGCUGGAUUGCACCACAGAACGCGCUGAAGCCGCGGAGUGCGCGGAAAGGCGCACACCCGCUGGAAUGGCAACACCACGAGAAGCGAAGCAAGGAUCAAAUACUGACAGGAGAUGGAAGUAAAGAGGGUAGCGCAGCCACAUGUAGGGCCACCACGAUGCAAAAGGAAAUGGGCUGCUAGUAAGCCCCAUUGGCUCUCCUCUCUUGACUUCUCAAGAACUUUGUAUACUUCUGUGAGACUUCAGUGAAGGAGAAGAAGAAAGGCGAUGAGGGAAUGCCUGCAGCAAACAUCAUGAACCAAACUGUGGGAGCAUCUGCAUCUCUGGAUCAAAGUGAGUUAAGACUAAGUUCUUUAUAGGCUAUUCACUCUUCUGCUGUACAACAUCUGCUUGAAAGUAUAAACAGAACCAGAUUUUUUGUCUGAUUGAUUAAAAAAAAAAGGUAAUGGAACAAUGUGAUUAGCCCUCCAGUCCUUGCUCUAAGGCUGUUCUCAAUUUAUUAUUCCAAAAGAGGUAUCAGGCCACUGAAACAUCAUUUGCCUAAAAGUGCAAUUGUGUCACACUGCAGUGACCAUGUGGACUUGGUAAUGCACACUGAGUAAUGCAUCUGAGUGUAGGUGGUAGAUACAGUGACUUAUUAACAUCGGCAAUCCCCAUUAUGCAGUGAAUUACACCAGUCUCUGGAUCCAAGUUAUCAGAUAUCAUUUUGCAGUUCUGGAAA